CUCAGUUUGUUAACUUUUUCCAGCUGCUGUUCUGUGUCAGUCCUCUACAGCCAUCUGUCUUGAGACCAACAGCUGGAAGAUACUUCAGCAGACUAGCUGCAUAGUUGCGAAUUCCUAAAGUAAUUCAAUCCAAACGGUGGAUUGGCCAUGAUCUCUGAAAGUCCAAAUCUUUCUCUGAAGAAAAAAGAAAAAAGAAAAAAGGAAAAAAAAAAAAAAAAGGCAACUUAAUGCUGAGAAAAUAUUGAAAAUUUUUAAUUUUUAGAGCCAGAUUUUUUACAGAGAUUAUUGAGUAUACUGUAAAUGAUCAAUACAUAUCUGGUCAUUAGUGGUCAUUUUAAAUGACCAUUACAUUGAAUGUAACAGGAUCAUUUUUCUGAAGCUCAUGGAUGGAAACUGUGCUUGUAAAACAACAUGCUUGUAAUUUUUUCUUGGUCUCAUGAUUCCUAUACACAGGUGAUCUAUUUAUCUUAGGGGCCUAAGGCCAAAUUAUUAUCAGGAGUGAAUAAUUUUAAGCUGGAAUGAUCACUCCAUAGAAUGUAAUAAACAGAUGCAAAAGCCACAGCACAUUUUUAUUAGAAUUUGGAAAGUUUAUAUUUUCUUCCCAUUUUUUAUUGCCUGUCCCCUUUAAUUUAUUAACUUUGAGAACCAGAAGAGAAUCUAUGAAUGGUAAGGGGAUGGAGUAUUUUCAAUGCACUGCUGUGUUAGAAUUAAUGCAAGACUACGGUCUUCAAGUUAUGCCUAAGAAUAAUCAUGCUUGAUUGUACAGAACUACUUCUCUAAAUUUCUCUCAUUACUUGAUGGUAUUUUCUUUUCUCACUUGUGGACACAAUUUUUUUUGAUUUAUAAAUAUCUGCUCUUGAGAUGCACCACCUGAAACACUGCACCCAGCACUGGGGCCCAUAACACAGGAAAGAUGUGGACCUGUUGGACCAAGUCAGGAGAAGAGCCUCUGAGUUUUUCCCAGGGCUUGAGCACCUCCCCUGUGAAGACCGGCUGAGAGAGUUGGGACUCCUCCUGGAAGAAUGGAGACUCCAGAGUAGUCCCUCCAGUACCUAAAGGGACAAGAAGGCUGCAGAGGGACCUUUCACAAAGGAGCAUAAGAACCUGUCUGUGCAAAGCCAUUUGCUUUUCCUUACCUCUGUUUUAAUGUCCUUUCUGGUCAAGAUCUACUAGAAUCUCCUGAUCAUUGGUUUGGUAUCUCCACGUGUCCUGAUUUCUACAGAGAAGUUUUCAGACCACUCGGAAUCUGAAGAGUUGACUGUGCAAGGUAACGUGGGAUCAGGGGAGAGCAAGGAUAGUGACAGAUAUGGAUACCAGAAGUCCUGAUUAUUUGACACUGUUUCUGGGCAUAAGAUUCAGACACUUAACAGUUUUCUGUGGGCAGCAAAUUUCUUGUCGCAACCAUGAUCUGAAGCCAACAUUAAUUGCAGAGUUCCUGAAAGAAAAUGUUAUAUCUUGCAGCUCACUAUUUCAGCUUUGAAGGAAUAACAGCAUUGCUUUGGGAGUUAGUCACGACAAUAUCAAGAAAAAAAUGAACACACAUCGAUGGGAUUUGAGACAUUCCAUGAAGAAGAGGGGGUUGUAUGAGAUUAUUAACCUAUUAAAGAAACGUGAUGCAUAAAGAAGUACCACAGCAUAACCUUCCUGUCACUCAGCUCAGAUCUCCUUUUGGAGGAGGAUGGAGAGGCAGAGCAUAAAGCAGAAAGACUUUUGUAUUUCUAUGAAAAUGAGGAAUGGCAGAGUGAUUCUUUCCAUAGCCACUGCCCAUCCUUCUGCAGUCACUCUGCCAGAAGUCUUGCAUGAAAAUAUUAAAUCCCUUCGGAUGAACCCUUCCCAGGCUUCAUCUUGUGCCUCUGUGAACACUAAUUCAUUAGGCUGUUCCACUAACACUUUCAGUAUUUUUGGCUGCUUUGGUGUGCAUAUACCAUUUAUUUUCUCAUUUGUUCAACAGAAAAUAUGGGAUACCUAAUACCUUCAUCCCAUAGAUCUAUCUUCACACACAACAAUUACAUAUAAAGGUAUCUUUUCAAGUAAUAUGACACUUUAAAUAUACAAGAAAUUGGAGCAACUCUGAACUCUAGAAGGUGCUAUAAAUCAUCUACUGUGGGGUUUGAAUGCAGAUGGCAAUACCUAAGAUUUGAACUCAGUUUUGCAUAUAUAUUUUCUAGGUAAAAAGCCUUUGAUUUGUUUUUUCUAGUUGAUUUUAAUUGAUGUUAUAACCUUUAUUCCACUUCUAUACUUAAAUUUAUUUAGUUCUUCUUUUUCGAAAAAAACCCCAUUUCCUUUAGCAUAAAAAUGACACUGACAUUUGGGGAGUAUUUACGCAACAAUCAAAUUUUUUGGGAGGGAAAACCAUACUGUUCUCAGUAGAGUCCAUAGAGUCUGCCCAUCAAGCAAAGUCAUCAAAUAGCACAAGAGUGGUUUUAUAAUCCAAAAUUUGUCCCUCAGCACUCCUCUCCUACACAGUAUCUAACACAGAAGCAGGACUUUAGACUUCUACCUACAAAGUACUGAAUAUGUAGAUAUCCUAAAGCAUGUGAAUAUUUGCAUUUGGUUCAGUGGGGCCAUUCAGGGGCUCACUGUUGAGCAUCUGAUCAAGUGCUCCUGGAAACUGAAUCCUAGACUGAGCCAGGGUAUGUAUCCUGGUGUUUCUCUUACUCAAAGAGAGAUUUAAACAGAAAUAGGCUUACCGUAUUUUUCUUUUCUUUUUCAGUGGCUAGAAAAAUGCUGAUUUAAUUUUCCAUUGAAAAAUCAAAAAUUAAUGUUUUAGGGAAUAAUAUUACAGAGGCUCAAAGCUCUACUUGGUUCUGCCUUCUUUUUUCCCCCUAGGAGUGUGAAAUGAGCUGUUUUCAUUAACUACUAAAUUAUUAUUUUUUAAAUUAGCUGGUUUCCCCCACCCUUCCCACUGAGUAACAAUGUUCCUUCAGUUCUGUGAGAUUAUGGGUCUAUUUCAUAUAUCAGGCACCAGGUAGUAAAUUGGAAGUUUUGAGUAAAUUCUGUGCUUUUGAGAUAGAAUGAUUUUAAUUAAGAAAUCUUUUAGAGUAAUGUGAAAGGUGACAUUACUAUUCAUCAGAAUGCACACAGGGCUCUCAGUACCUUUUCCAAAAUUAUCCCUGUGCAAUCCAUGCUGCUAAGUCAAAGCCCCAUGCUAGUUUUUACAGAUUCAAAUCUGGGUCACUGCAGUAUAUAGACAGAAUUUACUUUAAAUUAAAUAAUUCCUGAGCACGACGAUUUUCUAUUUUCAACUCCUUUCACAAGUUGUUAUGGCUAUGCAUUACAAUGAGCUAAACAUAAAAGAAGGCAAAAUCUACAAUUGUAAGGGGAACAAAGCACUAUAUUAUACAAGAAAAGUUGCCUUUGGUGUACUUUGUAGCCCUUUAUACUCUGUAAAAUAUUUUUUACUGUUUGGUUGGUUUUUUCCAGUUAACAUCUAAGCAAACGUAAUUAUACAAGAUUUCUGGAAAUUAAAUGAAACCGAAAAAUGCCUAGAUAGUAGCAACUGUAAUGACAGAUCACUUCAUAAGGAUAACACUUCAUUGUUUCUUGUACUUUUGCAAAAUUUUAAAGGCUGUUUUGCAUUUGUUUUCAGAUAGUGUCAAGGACUAGUUUAUGCAAAGGAAAAUCUUGAAACUGCAGGCUCUUAAAAGACCAAGCUUAGGCCCGUGAAGGUGUGAGGUUAAUGUAUCUGAUUUGCAGUCUUAUGCAACAGAAAAUUUCAUGGUCAGCUGUUAAGCAUAAAUAUUUUCACAACGAACAAAUAAUUUGCAUGAAAAAUAGUGAUAGUGUGUACAUUAAAGAUAUUCACAAUGGGUAGGCUUUAUACAUUAUUGGUAAGAAUUUUUAGCAGAUGAUAGAAUUACCUCCAGGAUGAAUUCAGACCAAUCUAUUUUUGCUGAUGUACUACGCAUAAUAAUUUGUAUUUCUUGGCAGACAUUCAUCUUUGCACAUAAACAUCUUCAUAUAAAUUCCUUUCCUUGGGAGAAGUAGCAGGGGAGAUGAUUUUUUUCAUAACUCAUAUCAGCAUCUGUGAUAGGACACUGUCCUUGUUUUGUAUAGCAUAAACAUAGCUCAAAUUUUGUUGACUUCUUGCUAACCUCUAUAAUAUUUAUAGAGUGCUGCAUCCCUAUUGCCUACCAUUAAACUUUUUUAAGUGCCUUGCUAAAAUGGAAAAUUUUUGCCUAAACCCACUCUCUUAAUUACUUUCUUUGAAUGUCUAAUUUUAACUAAUUUUUCUUUACAGAUUAAAAACUGUCUAGUUAACUCAACAUACAACCUUUUUCUUAAGCAAAUGGUAGCAUGUUCUAUAAUCCUGAUAGAGCUAUAACAAGAAAUUCAAGAACUACCCACAGUGGACUUUAUUC